UGUAUGUGCACUUCAUAGUCCACAGUUUAAAGAAGAUUGUCCUUGCUGUGUGCCCUACGGUGUACACCGCUUCCCCGGCCGUGCUGAGGAUGAAGACAUUCGCAAGAUGUGGAUUAAAAACGUACACCGAAAGGACUUUGCCCCCAAACAAGUAUUCAAGGGUGUGUGGAGUACACUUCCCUGACGGCAGACCAACGCAGGAACACCCAUAUCCCAUAAUAUGGGAUCAUGGGUUCAUAUCCCAUAAUAUGGGAUAUGAAUAUAGUAAAGCACCAUCAUGUGGAAGACCACCCCCAAAGAGGAGAUGUCUCCAGCCCCCAACAGAGAGACUUGGAUUAAUGUUGAGAGGAUUAUUGUUCAAUACGGUGUAGAAACACUUGGUUCAGUUAUAUGUAUAUAUCUAUCAUCUUUCAAGAAAUCCUUCAUCCCCUCAGCUGUGACCAUACUGAACAAGAGAUGAACUGUCCAGCUGCAGCAUGCAUG